GGGUCAGUAGGUUCGUCGUGCCACCGGUACGUACUGGUCUCACUGAUUCCUCCUUCCUGAAGAACCGUAAUCCCAUUAAUUUGGUGUUGCGGGGAAACAGGACUGUUACUUUGAAAAAAUUAGAGUGUUUAAAGCAAGCUAACGCUAGAAUACAUUAGCAUGGAAUAAUGAAAUAGGACGAUCGAUCCUAUUUUGUUGAUUUCUAGGAUUGACGUA
rnacentral:rRNA from 1 species